AGCUUUGUGCAGUGGUGCUAUUGUAGCUUAUGUAGUUUAAUCGAGGCGUGACUAUUGCUUAUUGAAAUUUUAAUCAAUCACCCCUUUGAUUAGUUAUAACCAAUUAAGUCGUGGUCAAUUUCUUAUAGUCUCUGAGGCGC